rnacentral:tRNA from 1 species
GCACGUGGCUCAGUGGUAGAGCGCUUGCUUAGCACGUGCAAGGGCCUGGGCUCCAUCCCAGUGCUGCA